rnacentral:rRNA from 1 species
CAUGCCGAAAGGUAUGCUAAUACGGGAUAACAUAAGAGAGUCGCAUGGCUAUCUUAUCAAAGCUUUUGCGGUACAGGAUGGACCCGCGUCUGGUUAGCUAGUUGGUAAGGUAACGGCUUACCAAGGCGACGAUUAGUAGCCGACCUGAGAGGGUGAUCGGCCACAUUGGAACUGAGACACGGUCCAAACUCCUACGGGAGGCAGCAGUGGGGAAUAUUGCACAAUGGGCGAAAGCCUGAUGCAGCAACGCCGCGUGAGCGAUGAAGGCCUUCGGGUCGUAAAGCUCUGUCCUCAAGGAAGAUAAUGACGGUACUUGAGGAGGAAGCCCCGGCUAACUACGUGCCAGCAGCCGCGGUAAUACGUAGGGGGCUAGCGUUAUCCGGAAUUACUGGGCGUAAAGGGUGCGUAGGCGGUCUUUCAAGUCAGAAGUGAAAGGCUACGGCUCAACCGUAGUAAGCUUUUGAAACUGUAAGACUUGAGUGCAGGAGAGGAGAGUGGAAUUCCUAGUGUAGCGGUGAAAUGCGUAGAUAUUAGGAGGAACACCAGUUGCGAAGG